rnacentral:rRNA from 1 species
CGACGAGUCCCNAUUGAUUCUUAGUGCUUGCNUAAGAUGAUUUUGGAUCCGACUGAGUGGCGAACUGGUGAGUAACACGUGGGUAACCUGCCCAGAAGAAGGGGAUAACACCUGGAAACAGAUGCUAAUACCGUAUAACAACAAGAACCACAUGGUUCUUGUUUGAAAGCUGGCCUUUGUGCUAGUGCUUCUGGAUGGACCCGCGGCGUAUUAGCUAGUUGGUGAGAUAAUAGCUCACCAAGGCAAUGAUACGUAGCAGACCUGAGAGGGUAAUCUGCCACAAUGGGACUGAGACACGGCCCAUACUCCUACGGGAGGCAGCAGUAGGGAAUCUUCCACAAUGGACGAAAGUCUGAUGGAGCAACGCCGCGUGAGUGAAGAAGGGUUUCGGCUCGUAAAACUCUGUUGUUAGAGAAGAACAGCCGUGAGAGCAACUGCUCACGGUAUGACGGUAUCUAACCAGAAAGUCACGGCUAACUACGUGCCAGCAGCCGCGGUAAUACGUAGGUGGCAAACGUUGUCCGGAUUUAUUGGGCGUAAAGGGAGCGCAGGCGGUUUAUUAAGUCUGAUGUGAAAACCUUCGCUUAACCCGGAGAAGUCAUCGGAAACUGAUAAACUUGAUUCAGAAAAGGAUAGUGGAACUUCUGUGUACCGGUGAAAUGCNUAAUAUAUGAAGGAACACCAGUGGCGAAGGCGGCUAUCUGGUCUGUACUNACCCNNAGGCNNNAANCNUGGGUUNCAAACNGNAUGAANNCCCNGGU